CAUUCGAGUUUACACGUUUGUGUUCACACGAAGCUAUCAAGCGCUCCGCCAUUUUCACCUCGCUCCGUUUAGAAACCGUGCUCAAAUUGUUACGGCAAAAGUGACGUGAAAGUUUUCAAACGAUUUCACUCCAGCGUAGAGUAAAUUAGCGAUGGCUUAUUGUGACUUUUCUACGCUGUUUUCAAAUAGCUCUGGCGUGGCGGAACACUUGGCGGCUUCUUGUGACUUGCAAACACAAACACGUGGCAGGUUUUCAG